rnacentral:tRNA from 1 species
GACCGCGUAGCUCAGUUGGAAGAGCAUUGGGCUAGUAUUCCAAAGGUCAUUGGUUCGAUUCCCAUCGUGGUCA